AAUUUUGGACAAUGGGCGCAAGCCUGAUCCAGCCAUGCCGCGUGAGUGAUGAAGGCCCUAGGGUUGUAAAGCCCUUUCACCGGUGAAGAAAAUGACGGUACCUGGUGAAGAAGCCCCGGUUAACUUCUUGCCAGCAGCCGCGGUAAUACGAAGGGGGCUAGCGUUGUUCGGAUUUACUGGGCGAAAAGCGCACGUAGGCGGAUUGGUCAGUUAGGGGUGAAAUCCCAGGGCUUAACCCUGGAACUGCCUUUAAUACUGCCAGUCUUGAGUAUGGAAGAGGUGAGGGGAAUUGCGAGUGUAGAGGUGAAAUUCGUAGAUAUUCGCAGGAACACCAGUGGCGAAGGCGGCUCACCGGUCCAAUACUGACGCUGAGGUGCGAAAGCGUGGGGAGCAAACA
rnacentral:rRNA from 1 species